rnacentral:rRNA from 1 species
AUUGAACGCUGGCGGCAGGCUUAACACAUGCAAGUCGAACGAGUGGCGGCGGGGUGCGUAAUGUAUGGGGAUCUGCCCGAUAGACGGGGAUAACUACUGGAAACGGUGGCUAAUAUCGCAUACUAUCGGAUGAACCCAUAUGGGAUUAGCUAGUUGGGGGUGUAAAGGGUCACCUAGGCGACGAUCCGUAGCUGGUCUGCGAGGAUGAUCAGCCACACUGGGACGGAGCAACGGCCCAGACUCCUACGGGAGGCAGAAGCUGGGACUAUUGCACGAUGGGCGGAAGCCUAAAGGCGACAUCCCGCGUAUAUGAAGCAGCCCUUAGGGUUGUAUAGUCCGUUCAGCGGGGAGGUGUUACCCGAACAAGCAGCACCGGCUAACUCCGUGCCAGCAGCCGCGGUAAUAC